GAUUGUAAGAUUCCUGAGGCCUUCUCAGCCAUGCUGAACUGAUGUCUGUAUCACAACAAUCACACCUCAGAGGCGACAGCCUGGUGCAGUUCAAAGUUCACUGGCCCUGAGAGUGAAAAAUGCACAUUCUAGUAUCUACUCUGCCAUGGAGAAAGGUUUUAGCAAACUCUGAAUUCAAAUUCAGCUCUGCCAUCUGUAAGCCCUAACUUUGUCUCCUGCAACUAUGGUGAUAAACCUUGAUCCGGCAUCUUCCAUUCACCUCUCCAGAUUCACUCUCCAUGCCUCAGUACUCUGUGCUACUUCCCAGAAGGCUGACCCUUAAGGACUACACCGUGGGUUCCCUUGGCACUGGCAAUGGGACAAUGGGAGGUGCCAGCAGGAAAUCAGAAUGAUGAAGAAGAAUGAGGUCUGGGUAUUUAUCUCCUGGCUUCCUAUAAGUAUACAAGGUGAUAAAAAGGAAAAUGAUUCCUAACAACUUUGGGGGUAUGUGGAAGCAGGGGAAGGGGGUGCUGUGGACUGAACUGUAUUUCCUCAGUUAUAUGCUGAAGCCCAAACCCCUAAUGUGACUGUAAAAGCAGGGGCUUUUAGGAAGUAAAGUUAAAAGAGGUCACAAGGUGAAGGUCACAAUCCAUUGGAAUAGGUGACCUUAUAAGAAAAGGGAGAGAGAUCUCUUCCUCUCCAGACACACACACACACACACACACACACACACACACACACACACGCACAGGCACACACACACCAAGGAAAGGCCAUGUGAGCACAUGGUGAGAAGGCAGCCGUCUGUAAGCCUGGAAGGGAGACCUCACCAGAACUCAACCAUGUUGAUUGAUCAAGCACCUGAUCUUGAACUUUCCAGCCUGUAGAACUGGGAGAAAUACAUUUUGUUUAAACUACCAGGUCUGUGAUAUUUUGUUAUGGUGGCCUGAAAAGACAUACAUGGGCAGGGAAGAAUUCUCAGAGGUAUUUCUUGAGCUGAGACUUUUUGUUACCUACUGGUGGGAGGUAGGGUUUUCCAGGCAGAGAAUACCAACAAUAAGGCACGAAAUUUCAGGGAAUAGUAUGUAUCAAGCACUUGGAGCAUAGGGUGCUUGGAAGGGCAGUGGAAGAGGCUGGAAAGGCAAGCAGAGGCCAGAUGUUGGGGUUUAACAUCAAAGGUCAAGAAUUUUGCCUAAAAGAAGUCCAGUGGGAAACUACUGAGGGUUCUUAAGUCAUCAGAAGUAUAUAAUAGUAUCCAUGUUCAAAAGACCAUUUAUGUGGUUGUGUGAGAGGCCAGACUAAUAAAGAGGUAGAGAAUAAUUUAACUCUGAUUUUUGAAAUGUACCCAGUGGAGCCCUCAGGGUCCUAAGUCAAGGAUCACCAUGAAGCUGGAGGAGGAGGCUAAGUGGGCAGGGUCAUGGAAUCCCAUGUCUACCUCACCCACAGAAGUUCUGUGGCCCUAGACUAGACCUGGAAUCUUUGUCACACUCAGGACAGCCAGUCUAGAAUAUUUUACUUCAAAGACUGUACUGAAAGAGGCUACAUAUGGAGGUCAAAGGCACCUGCUUCAGCUCUUUUAGCGAUGGUGAAAAAGUCAGGGAAUUAUCAAGAAUUCUGAGAGAAACGUGACUGGACUCAUGCCAGGAAGAUGUCAGAACUACUAAGAAAUACCAACGGGGUGGACUGUUAUCAACCCCAGCUGAAUGACAGGCCAUAUGCAAAGCCCUAGACUAUUAUGGCUCUUAGAUUUUCAGACUAUACCCAAUUGAUUAAAUGAGUCUGUGUGAUAAAAUUGAAAAAAAAAAAAAAAAAGGUUAUUUUCAUGCCAUGGAGAUCUGCUCUUGUCGGAUAUAUUUUCAUCUGAAAGUAUCAGAUUAAAAUGAUUAAUAUAGACAUAAAAAUGACUAUAACUUGCUUUAGAGAAAAGAUGAUAUCUCUUAGGAAUGAGCUUUAAAAUCUCAUGAGCAGUUUUUGGCAAUUGCAUAGCAGAACCAAAAAGAAUACAGGUUAAGUAUCUCUUACCCAAAAUGCUUCAGAAGUAAAAUAAAACAGAAGUGUAUCAGAUUUCAAAUUUUUUUAAAGUUUGGAAUAUUUGCAUAAACACAAUGAGCUAUCUUGGGUAUAGGGCCCAAGUUUAAACAUAAAAUUCAUUUCUAUUCCAUAUACAGCUUAUGUACAUAGCCUGAUGGUAAUUUUAUACAUAUUUUAAAUAAUCUUGUACAAGACACAAAGGUUUGAAUGUAUUUUGACUGUGACCUGUCGCAUGGUCAGGUAUGUGAAAUUUUCCACUUGUGGCAUCAUGUUGACACUCAAGAAGUUUUGGUUUUGGAGCAUUUUGGAUUUUGGAUUUUAGGUAUUAUAAGAUUGUAAGGUAAAAACUACGCCCAGGAGAGGGCAGUGCAGCCUUCGGUAAAGUUAACUGAUAGGGACAAUAGAAAACAGUGUGAGCAUUAAGAGCAGAGACGUUCUAAUCCACGAAAACUAUUUUGUGUUAAGUCACUUUACCUUUUUAAAACAUGAGAGACAUACUGCCUCACUUCUAUAUCCCUUGAAGAGACAGCACAAGGGAGAGCUGUUUAAGUCUUGUAAAAAAAAAUUCCUGGAAAACUUUAGCUCCCUAAAACUGAAGAAUUGUAUCAAUUCUAGCAGGUUUCUACUGACUUUGCUAUUUUACACAUUUACCUUUGUUUCUAAAAACUGAUUCAAUAAAUAGUUUUUAAAAGAG